CUUUCGCUUCUCAUUUCCCGGUUUGGGUGGAGCCUUCCCUGGGUGAAGUUCACUCACUUCCUGCUCAGGGAUCAGCAGCCACAGCAGAACCAGGCUGGGGAGACUGGAAGGAUUAGCGGUCCAGGCAGUGCCCAGGGCAGGACGAUGGCCAGUGGGGGCAGCGACCUCAGCACCAGGAUGUCUGCAGAAGAUGAGAACAUAGAAAACAAAAGUAUCAAUGACAUUGCACUCAGAUACUUCAAAAAAUAUAAAGUGGAGAUUUCAGAUGCAAUAAAAACAACAUUUCCUUUCCUUGAACUUCUCCGUGACCAUGAAUUCAUCACCAAUGAAAUGUAUGAAGAGUCUCAAGAAUCUUUUAAAAAAAAGUGUCCUGUACAUGUAGUCAUAUACGAUGUUCUCUGUGAACUGGAGAAGAAAUUUGACAUGUCUCUUCUGGGAGCACUGUUCAGCAAGACCAUCAUGAAGAAUUACCCCGAUUUAUUUCGAAUUUAUAAAAUAUUCUACAAAGCCAUACCAGACAUAGAAUUCCUCCUAGAAAAUGAUGGAGAAGAAUAUGAGGAGAGGCCUAAUGACCAACUAAGCCUGGAACAAGGAACUGGUGGUAGUUCAUAUCAAAGACUGACAUGGUUAGGCCCAGAUGCCUGGAAUUACAAUGAUACAGCCCCACCUGAAUGUGGACCCUUAGAGCACCGCCAUGACACACAAGAGAUAAAUGCAACUGAAACAGAUACAACCAGUGACAAUGAGGAUGCACUAAAAAGCCAACAAGCAAAUGAACAAUGUGCCCAAGAGUCUAAGACAGCAGGAGCAGAGCUACUCCACCAUGGAAACCAAACCAACUCCUGCUCUGUAAACCCAAUGGGUAUGAAGAAGGAAAAGUCAUUUUUAUAUUCAGGAGUUGAAUGUGAAGCCCAAGCAAGGACUGGCUGUAACCAGGCGUCUGACGUAAUAGUGAUCAACAGUCAGGACUUUGAAGAAUUUACUGAUGAAGAUGAGCCUCCCAUUGGUUCCACCUCAGCAUUGAAAAGGAAGCCAGAGUCUGUGGAUUUCAGAAAAUCACCUACAUCUGGACAAAUACUUUGCAAAACAGGAGCAGAGCUACUCCACCAGGGAAACCAAAACACCUCCUGCUCUGUAAACCCAAUGGGUAUAAAGAAGGAAAAGUCAUUUUUAUAUUCAGGAGUUGAAUGUGAAGCCCAAGCAAGGACUGACUGUAACCAGGCAUCUGACGUAAUAGUGAUCGACAGUCAGGACUUUGCAGAAUUUACUGAUGAAGAUGGAUCUUCUGAAGCUUCCACCACAGCAUUGAAAAGGGAGCCAGAGUCCAUGGAUUUCAGAAAAUCACCUACCUCUGGAAAAAUACUUUGCAAAACAAGGAGAAGUAUUGAAGAUUCUUCAGGAUUCUGUGCAGAGAAGAAGCCACGAGUAACCUGUAGCUCUGCACUGGGAAACCCUGAAGUGUCUUCAGGAUUCAGUGCACAGAAUAAGCCACCAGGAACUCAUAGCUCUGCAGUGAGAAACCCUAAAGUGUCUUCAGGAUUCAGUGCACAAAAUAAGCCCCCAGGACCCUGUAGCUCUGCAGUGAGAAACCCUGAAGUGUCUUCAGGAUUCAGUGCACAGAAUAAGCCCCCAGGAGACUGUAGCUCUGCAGUGAGAAACCCUGAAGUAUCUUCAGGAUUCAGUGCAAAGAAUAAGCCCCCAGGAGCCUGUAGCUCUACAGUGAGAAACCCUAAAGUGUCUUCAGGAUUCAGUGCAAAGAAUAAGCCCCCAGGAGCCUGUAGCUCUACAGUGAGAAAACCUAAAGUGUCUGCAGGAUUCAGUGCAAAGAAUAAGCCCCCAGGACCCUGUAGCUCUACAGUGAGAAAACCUAAAGUGUCUUCAGGAUUCAGUGCAAAGAAUAAGCCCCCAGGACCCUGUACCUCUGCAAUGAGAAUUUCUGAAGUGUCUUCAGGAUUCAGUGCAAAGAAUAAGCCCCCAGGACCCUGUACCUCUGCAAUGAGAAUUUCUGAAGUGUCUUCAGGAUUCAGUGCACAGAAUAAGCCACCAGGAGCCUGUAGCUCUGCAGUUAGAAGUCUUGAAGGUUCUUCAGGAUUUGCCACACAGAAUAAGCCCCCGGGAGCCUGUAGCUCUGCACUGAGAAUUGGUCCUGAUGAGAAGGGUACUGUGCAUCUUGGGAAAAAAUCUACUUUAGAAAAAGCUAAGAGGGAAAAAAGGUCAAGAAAGCACAAAGAAGAAAAUGCGAAUUUUCACUCUGAAAUAUUACCAGUGACCUGUGGGAAGAUAGAAGGCAUGUUAUAUGUUAAGAAGUUCGAACAAGGAACCAAAAGAAAAUGUAUAAGAAGCCAGGAUGGAAAUUGGUUCAACCCUAAGGAAUUUGAAGAGAAAGCGGGCUACGGAACCUCAAAAAGUUGUUGGAAGACCCGUGUGCGCAGCAAUGGGAAUACCCUAAAAUCGCUGAUGAAGAAGGGACGACUACCUACACCUCCAGCAGAACGUAGCAGGUCAAAAAAGCUGAGAAGUUCAGAAGUAUGUAAGAUCUGCUGCCGUGAAGGAAAUCUCUUCUGCUGUAUUACUUGUUUGAGCUUCUUUCAUGGGGACUGUCACCUCCCACCUGUGGAAACUGAGAGGAGCCCGUGGAGGUGCACCUUGUGCAGGGUGAAGGAGUGUUCAGGAAGUCAGCAGUCUGCCAGGGAAUCUGAAGUCCUGGCGAGGCUGAUGGGGCCUGAGUCGCAGCUGAAAUGUGAGUUCCUCCUCUUGAUGCUCUAUUGCCAUUCAGAGGGCAAUGGUUUUCCGAAUAUUCAACGUGAUACCUAUCUGGAUUUUAUAGGAAUCCACAGAAGGCAGACAUUGUACUGUAUCAGAAAUCCUCUCAAUAUUAUUUUUUCAUCAGAGAAUCGAGAAUUUUCAAUGCAUGGCAGAUUUUUUGGUGCUGGAUGAAAUCAAGAAGAAGCUAAUUGAGCGGCGUUACCUCAAUGUGAUGGAGUUUAUGCAGGAUGUGCGCCGCAUCUUUUUGGUACACAGGGCGUCUAAAAAAUGCAAUAACUUUUGCUGGGGAAUUAGACAGGAGGAGAAAUUUGAGCUGAAUUUCAAGCAAGUGUUUGCUGUUCAGGAAACAGAACAAGAACAUACAACAAAAUUAAAUUAGAAAACAAUGUUCAGAAAACAAAACAAGAACAUACAACAAAAUUAAAUUAGAAAACAAAAUUAGAAGUUCAAUAAAGAAGAAGAAACUAUGUCACAUACAACGGAGCCCCCACAAGACUAUCAGAAAAUUACUCGACAGACAUUUUGCAGAUCAAGAGAGAGUGGAUGAUAUAUUGAAAAUAUUGAAAAAAAAUAAUUGUUAAGGAAGAUUAGUACUCAGCAAAGCUGUCCUAUAGAAUUAAAGGAGAAAUAGACCCAUCAAAGGGAACUUGAGAAAGUUCAUUACCACUAGAACUGCUUUAUAAGAAGUGCUAAAGGAUGUUUUUCAAGCUAAAAUAAAAGGAAAGUAAUUAACAUUGCAAAAACAUGACCUGAACUCUCAACUAUACACAGUUGGGUGCCCUUUCUUCCUUUGUUACAGGCACUGGGGAUUUAGAGCAGGUAGGAGGCAGAGGGAAGGUUGUGGCCCAAAUCCCUUGGGAAGAGAUGGCUGCCUAGACAUGUCCUUGAACCAAAAUACCAGAUUCAAAAACCAUAACUCAACCUCCUUCUUUAACAAAGAAAAAUAUACACUUCAGCUUUUUGGCAACAACUUUUAUAUCUCAUAUGUAUAAAUGGUUUUUAAGUAUUAACUCCAACUGAAAUUCUAAAAUAAACCAUGUCUUUUCUAGGCA